ACAAGAAGUCUAAUACUUCACUGUGAACUCAGUUCUCAGUGUUUCCACACCAUCCUUGUGUAAAUUACAUAUGGGCGAGGCGAGCAGAUGAAUAUGAAAACAGCCUUCAAAUGUCAGUGUCUGCACCCACACACACACACACACACACACACACACACACACACACACACCACAGUGCACAGUGAAACAUCCAGUGGAGGAACAAGAAGUAAAACACUGAGUGAAGGGGGACUUAAGAAGAGAAUAGAUUGUGAAUGUGUUCUGAAAAUGGAGAGAAAUGGUAAAAUUCUCAGAUGACACAGGCGAACUUAAAAGCAGCAUAACACCAUUUCUAUCAGCAACCAGAGGUGUGUGUCAAAGGGCUCGGAGGUGGCCUGAUUUACCGCUCUGCUCCAUCACUGUACGCCACUGAUUCUCUCCAAACGUUGUAUCUAUCCCAUGAUGACAACCCAAUAUGUCUCCUUGCUUAAAAAAAACACAACAAUAUGAGAGACAUGUGAGUGACUGACCCGCUGUGAGACACCAUGACGCACUUUCCUGUCGGGCAGACACGGUGACCCGUCCGGAGAGGACGGCGGAGUCUCUGAGAAACCGAGCGCACACUCUCAGCGCCAUUGAGCUCCAGCAGCUGCUACUGGUGUUUCUCUGCUGGGGGGACCGUGUUUAUCGAGUUAGAGGAGAGCCGCUUAUUUAUGUUCACAUUGUCUACAGGGUGACACCAUGUUGCUUUUACCAAAGAGAAACGUCUUCCGCUCUCAGGAGUGUCCUCGCAGACGGUUGGGUGGAAGCUGCACCGCCCCCUAGCGACCAAUGUGUAAACUACAACAUGUUUCAUCUACAAAUAAGACUUCAGAUUAGUCUAAAAGGGGUGCACUCAAAUAUCAGAUUGACCCCUGGUUAAAUGGGUUUUGUCACAAGUGUCUCUUGAAUAUAUGUCUUGACUCAUUAUUUAUUUACAUGUUGAUAUUUGCCUUAACUCCCAUCUAGAGUGAGUCAACAGAGACUGCACCAGUAAAAUAAUCUUCAGUUCCUGAAUCAGAAAGACAGAUCAGCGUCUAAGUGACCACAGAAUGAGUGCAUGAGAGCAAAACAACAAGGAAAGAAAUGAAACUAAGGAAUACAAUAGAAGAUUAAAGUCAGAGGAACUAAUGUUAGUAUGGAAAAGAAAUCAUUCCCAUGGACAAGACAAAGCUGUUCUUGGUCUUGAAACUACUUUGACAUGUAAAAUAACGACAUGGUUAUUUUACAUAUACAUGUUCAAUAAUGUGUAUAAUAAAAAAAUAAAAUAUAAGUCAUGCA